rnacentral:rRNA from 1 species
AUUGAACGCUGGCGGCAUGCCUUACACAUGCAAGUCGAACGGCAGCACGGGAGCAAUCCUGGUGGCGAGUGGCGAACGGGGGAGUAAUAUAUCGGAACGUGCCCAGUCGUGGGGGAUAACGUAGCGAAAGCUACGCUAAUACCGCAUACGAGCUAUGGAAUAAAGCGGGGGAUCGCAAGACCGUGCGCGAUUGGAGCGGCCGAUAUCAGAUUAGGUAGUUGGUGAGGUAAAGGAUCACCAAGCCGACGAUCUGUAGCUGGUCUGAGAGGACGAUCAGCCACACUGGGACUGAGACACGGCCCAGACUCCUACGGGAGGCAGCAGUGGGGAAUUUUGGACAAUGGGCGCAAGCCUGAUCCAGCAAUGCCGCGUGCAGGAUGAAGGCCUUCGGGUUGUAAACUGCUUUUGUACGGAACGAAACGGUGAGCUCUAAUACAGUUUGCUAAUGACGGUACCGUAAGAAUAAGCAUCGGCUAACUACGUGCCAGCAGCCGCAGUAA